UUAUCCGUCCCAACACUGGCAGAAAUAUAAUUAAUCUGACUUCAAAAUUCCUUCCUCUGUUCCCCCAAGUACAUGCAACACGCUUCGCUCUCUUUUUUUUUUUUAAUUUUCAUUGUAUAUUUUUUGUAGAAGCAGGGAAUGUGGAGCUAAUGCAUGCUGCUAAGGAUGGAAAGGUCUUGUGUUUAUUGGUUGUGCCUGAGACACCAGUCACAGUUGUACCUUAUUUCCAUUUUAGGGAGUCUUUAUACACUUGAAUUUUGAAGAUGGAUGACUUUCAGAUGAUGUGAUGAAGAUUGUUGAAAGAGAUUAUCAACAUAGACCCAAUCCAUAUGAAUGUGCAAGUCAGGACUUGUACAACACCUUAGUACCCAGAUGACUGUUGAACUAAUUGGUGAACAAGAAAAGAUGUCAGAGAGGGGAAUCCAAUACAGAUGUCAUGAUCAAGAAACGUACUGUUAUCAAUGAUAUGAUCAAGAAUUUGUAAAAUUGUAGCGAUUUAGAAUAUCUUUACUGUAAUAUAACUCUUCAAUACUUAUUUGUUCACACAUUAUCAUCUUAUCUGUAUAUUAAUCGCCCCCUCUUAUAUAACCCCCUGCUGAUCGUAAUGACCUGUCUAUUGAUUCCUGAUCUUAAGGAUCUUAUAAUGUGCUCCUGAUGGUCAGGAGCGGAUCUUGAGUAUAUAUAUAGUGCAACAGAAUUUUAGAAUAAGAUAGGAAGAUGGAAAUAUAGAAGACUUAGUAGAUAGAACUGUUAGAGAUAAAAUUUCUUACUUGAUUGGAAUAUUACCUAAUAUUUCUUGGAUUUAUAUGUACAUGUGAUUAUAUUACUUGGAUUUUAUUUUUAGUGAAUUAUUUUUCCUGAAUGUUUCUAUUUGUGAUGUGCUGUGUAAAUAAACUGUAGACUAGAAUUUCGGCAUCUAUUUUCAAGUUAUGAGGAACAAGGAUAAAUUGAUUUAUUCAUGCAAACUGGCAUUAUGAAAUGUGUUGUAAGACCGCCUGGUGUGGCGCUACAAACUAACUAGGAAAUAUCUUGGAGAUCCAUAGAUGAACAUGCAAGCAUUCAUGGUUUUGAAUGUUAUUCAGCCAGAGAGUUUUUGCACAAAUUCAAUUUUCAGUACAGUAAUUUAAACUGGAUGUGUAAUUUUCAGUACAGUUAUGUAAAAUGAAUAUGUUACUUAUUAUGAUUGUCAGUUUCUCAACAGGACAUAAUUGUAGUUUAUUCAUAUGCAGAUUUGCAGAACAAAACACAAAACUUUUUUUUCUCUUUGUGCAUCAUACACUUGUAAACGUUUUACACCACCAUGGUUACAUAUUUUACAUUUAUGACGUGUAAAUCGAGCACACACAUGAAAAUGCAUAUAGCUGGAUACAUAUGCAAACAUGCAUCUACCAUAACCUAUUACAUAUUUUCCAAGGUGUGUGAAGUCGAGCACAUACAUGAAAAUGUGUGAAGCUGGACACAUACACAAAUACACAUGCAUCUGCCACAACCUAUUACAUAUUUUCCAAGGCGUGUGAAGUCGAGCACAUACAUGAAAAUGUGUGAAGCUGGACACAUAUGCAAACACGCAUGCAUCUACCACAACCUAUUACAUAUUUUCCAAGGCGUGUGAAGUCGAGCACAUACAUGAAAAUGUGUGAAGCUGGACACAUAUGCAAACACACUAACAUUUACCACAGACAUAAAAACAUAAUCUAAACUAAAUCAAGUACAGACAGGCUCACGGGGUGAAGCUGGACUCGUACA